rnacentral:lncRNA from 1 species
UGCAAAUGGUGGUUUUUGAGCCCGGUAAUUUCAGUUCAUACGUGGCCUUCAACACAGGUUUUACUGUACCUUUGUGACAAUUAGGGUUUUGAUACUUAAAAAGGUGAGGACAAAUUGGAAGAUGCAAAGGCUUAUCAGCUUUUCCUUUUAUAUAUUUGAUAAUGCAGCUGCAUAUUUACAUUGCCAGUUUCACAUAAUAAGGAAUGGAAACCUAUAAAUGUUCAUGACAAUAUUUGCAGUAGUAUGCUACAUGCACUGCGGACUAUUUUGUUUCGCAGAUUUACCUUCACACGUGAUUUUUCGAAUUGACCGACCGUGCAGUUUGCAUAUAUAAUGAAAUUUAAUAAAUAAACAAAGGUUUCAAGGAUUUGUUAUUGUAUUUUUUAAUGUGUACUUUAUAUGUGGGCGCGUAUCUGAAGAGUUUAGGAAUUCAUACAUAAAAUAGUACUCCAUCGUAUCUUUGUUUAACUUCCGUUAUUAACGACCUUGGAAUAAAAAUAUGGUGUUGAACAAAGCUAUUUGUCGGUUAGUACCUUUAACCAGCAGGACUAUUUGGCGAAGAAAUUUUGUUUAUGGGGCACCAAAGAACCGCAUUUCGCUGCAGGAGAAGGGUAUGUUAUGGACUGGUGUCAUGGUGAUAGUUACUGGACCAAUGCUGUGGAUAAUGGGACACUUGAAACAAUACCAAGGGAAAGUGUAGUGGGAUACAAGAUUAACACACAACACCAAGAAAAGAUUUGACAUGUUUAGGUUUUGUAGAACUGACAAACUAACUGAUGUUAUAAAACAAACAAAAAAAAACAUGUAUAUUUGAACAGAAUUGCAUAUGGAUGAUAUUAUGUUAGUUUCUACGAUCUAUUUGCUUUUGGGGAAAAAUCCAUAUUUGAAAGCU